GUUCCCAGCAUGCUGUCCGAGAUGUGCAAAUAUAGGCACGUGUGGAGUGCAAUAUUUGUAAACUUCAAUAUCGAUCGAAAGGCUUCCUUUGACCCACGCAACCCGAGCUGAAACACUGAAAGCGACGAAUAUUUCAGUUUACAACAGAGACAUGUUAUGGUCACCCACAUACUGUAACAACUUGAGAUCGCUGAGAAAAAUUUGAGAUCGUUUUGGCGUAAGGUCUAUCACAGAGAACUGCUGUCGGGCUAAUAUAACAUCUUGACCGGCGACAUGACAGGUAUACACAGAAAAAAGUCGACUGCAAUUAACAGGAUAACAAAAUUGAUUAAGACACUUAACUUGCAUUUAUGUAGGAUUUAUCCUCACGUAAUCGCCUAGGAUCAGAAAGGAAAAGAACGCAAUGUUUUUUCUCCGACGGAGCCUUCGACGUUACUGCUAAGGAGUGCAAGAAAGAGAGCCCAGUUUCAAACACAGGUUAUGUGAGACCGACAGCUCUUGGCGGAGUCGGCCUCGACACAUUUAUUAGGCAAGAUCUAAUUCACCAACUAUGUAACUAGACCUGAUCAAUUAGAGUUUAUUUUAUUCAGCUGUAGCAGUAUAUUCAUUAAAACACAGUUAACCAUGUCUAAAUAUGUCAGGGUGUAAGGACUAAUCAAUGA